rnacentral:rRNA from 1 species
CCUACGGGAGGCUGCAGUGAGGAAUAUUGGUCAAUGGCCGGAAGGCUGAACCAGCCAAGCCGCGUGAAGGACGAAGGUGCCAAGCAUUGUAAACUUCUUUUGUCAAGGGACAAAAUCAGGCUCGAGAGCCUGACCGAGGGUACUUGAAGAAAAAGCAUCGGCUAACUCCGUGCCAGCAGCCGAGGUACUACGGGGGAUGCGGGCGUUAUCCGGAUUUAUUGGGUUUAAAGGGUGCGUAGGCGGACUGUUAAGUCAGCGGUAAAAGCCCGGGGCUAAACCCCGGCGAGCCGUUGAAACUGGCUGGCUUGAGAGGUCGAGAGGUGUGCGGAAUGCGCAGUGUAGCGGUGAAAUGCGUAGAGAUGGCGAAGAACUCCGAUUGCGAAGGCAGCAUACCGGCGGCGAUCUGACGCUGAGGCACGAAAGCGUGGGUAUCGAACAGGAUUAGAUACCCCUGUAGUC